GGAGAGGUGACCCAUAGAAGCCUAGAAUCAUAGACCAGCCAAGUUUGUCCAGGAGGAAGCUGUGGGAAACAGUGUUGAAGACUUUGCUGAAGUCUAGAGGGCCACAGAGAAUAAACCAGAAUUCCCCUUUUAUUGACGUCAGUGAACACAGAUUGCAUCAGGGCUGGCUAAGUACUUCUUGUAAACUCUGAUCUGAAGAAAAGAUUUAAAAGACCAGAAUUUCAGCAAGAAAAAAAUGGAAAUGAAC